GGCACAAACUUGAAGUAGAGUAGUUUAGUAGGGUUAGAUGAUCUUUUUAAUCUACUCUUCUUCAAAUUUGUGCCC
rfam:Haemonchus placei strain MHpl1 genome assembly, scaffold: HPLM_scaffold0000026